rnacentral:rRNA from 1 species
UACGAAGGUCCCAAGCGUUGUUCGGAAUCACUGGGCGUAAAGGGUGCGUAGGCGGGUCUUUAAGUCAGGGGUGAAAUCCUGGAGCUCAACUCCAGAACUGCCUUUGAUACUGAAGAUCUUGAGUUCGGGAGAGGUGAGUGGAACUGCGAGUGUAGAGGUGAAAUUCGUAGAUAUUCGCAAGAACACCAGUGGCGAAGGCGGCUCACUGGCCCGGUACUGACACUGAGGUGCGAAAGCGUGGGGAGCAAACAGG